GACGAACGCUGGCGGCGUGCCUAAUACAUGCAAGUUGAGCGCUGAAGGUUGGUACUUGUACCAACUGGAUGAGCAGCGAACGGGUGAGUAACGCGUGGGGAAUCUGCCUUUGAGCGGGGGACAACAUUUGGAAACGAAUGCUGAUACCGCAUAAAAACUUUAAACACAAGUUUUAAGUUUGAAAGAUGCAAUUGCAUCACUCAAAGAUGAUCCCGCGUUGUAUUAGCUAGUUGGUGAGGUAAAGGCUCACCAAGGCGAUGAUACAUAGCCGACCUGAGAGGGUGAUCGGCCACAUUGGGACUGAGACACGGCCCAAACUCCUACGGGAGGCAGCAGUAGGGAAUCUUCGGCAAUGGACGAAAGUCUGACCGAGCAACGCCGCGUGAGUGAAGAAGGUUUUCGGAUCGUAAAACUCUGUUGGUAGAGAAGAACGUUGGUGAGAGUGGAAAGCUCAUCAAGUGACGGUAACUACCCAGAAAGGGACGGCUAACUACGUG
rnacentral:rRNA from 1 species